ACUCAAAUGAAUUGACGGGGACCCGCACAAGCGGUGGAGCGUGUUGUUUAAUUCGAUGGUAAGCGAAGAACCUUACCCAGACUUGACUUCCUUGGAAGUUCUGCGAAAGCAGAGUGUGCCUUCGGGAACCAAGUGACAGGUGUUGCAUGGCCGUCGUCAGCUCGUGUCGUGAGAUGUUAGGUUAAGUCCUUCAACGAGCGCAACCCUUGUAAGUAGUUGAAUUUUUCUACUUAGACUGCCCUGGUAACAGGGAGGAAGGAGGGGAUGAUGUCAGGUCAGUAUUACCCUUACGUCUGGGGCUACAAACACGCUACAAUGGCCGGUACAAAGGGCUGCCAACCCGCGAGGGGGAGCAAAUCCUAUCAAAGCCGGUCUCAGUUCGGAUAGCAGGCUGAAACUCGCCUGCUUGAAGCUGGAAUCGCUAGUAACGGUAAGUCAGCACAUUACCGUGAAUACGUUCCCGGGUCUUGUACACACCGCCCGU
rnacentral:rRNA from 1 species